GGCGACGUCGCCAAGUGGUAAGGCAGAGGUCUGCAAAAUCUCCAUCGCCGGUUCAAAUCCGGCCGUCGCCUCCA
rnacentral:tRNA from 1 species